AGCCAAAACCCUAACCAACCUGAUCACUCAUCAGAACACCCAGCUGUACGUAUCCACAAACAGGCAGGAAUCAUGCUCCGCUGCUCUGCUCUUUCAUCUGCACCAACAUCGUAAGCGCCAACGCAGUCCACGUCAGGAGCAAGGGUAGUGUUACAACGAUUUGCGCCACCAUCAUCCGCAAUGCUCCUCAUCCUUGCUCUUUCGGCAGAUUGAAAUGGGCAUUCUUGCCAGUCCAGAGCGUUUCACCUGAUCUAGCGAGAGUGAGGAUUCUACGGCGAUAACUUGUCUUCUGAGUGUGGAGCGCUACACAUUGUAUUUUCUUGAAUCCGUG
rnacentral:misc_RNA from 1 species